UACAAGAAGAACAAGAAUGGUUAACCUCAUCCGGUCAUGUGACAUUUGUUGUUUAUAGAUUUUUCUCCCACACCAGAUGUCUGGACACGGGACAGGUAACAGAAAUACACAUUGCCACUCAAUCUGUAUUCAUCUUGUGACUUCUCCUUGGAAGAAGGAGAGAGGGACCCUAGGCGGGACGUAAAGGAGUUGAUGAAAUCCUGUUAAGACAGACAAUCAGAUGGUAUGGCCUCUGAGGACCCCCAAGACCAACUGGAUGAGGCUAUUAAAAAGGCAGGACGCCUUGCUGAGGAGCUCAACCAAGAGAAGGACCCACAAGCCUAACUGGACGAGGCCAUUAACGAGGCAAAAAGGCUGGCUGAGGAGCUCAACCCAGAGCGGGAAAAUAAGAAGAAAAAGACAAACAAGCCUCCAGGGAUUAGGUUCAGAUGGAGACAAAGGGAUGAGAGAGGACAGAUUGUUCCUCAAACCAGGAAGGCAACUACAUCCACUUCUCUUGGGCCAGUACAUCAAGAGCCAGACUAGUGCAACAUUUUGGGCCAGUCACUGAGGAGGAAGAAUCAGAACGGAAUGAUCUGUGGGGACACUUUUCAAAAAAGCUUCUUUGGGUGGAUGUACUGCCGCUCUGAAAUUGAUCAGGUCUGUGAUAUACAGUACAUUGACUGCCCAGCCUGUUCCCCCGACAUGCUUGCAGUGUCAGUGGAUGGGAACAAGAAGCUGUAUCGAUUCAAAAAAGGGACUGAUGACAAAGGAUUGUUUGAUGGCGUAUUUAUCUGCAAGGAUGAGGAUGUGUCUGACUUUGUGAACUAUGUCCAUACAAAGACUAAACAUGAUUAUGGAAAAGCGCUAUGUGGAGCAUCCUAGUGGACAGCAGCUAAAGAGUCGUCAAGGAAAACAAACAACAAACUUGAUGAAGAGGGACUCGAAGUUGCCGUCUGCCGCCACGGAAUACUUCUAAGGAGCCUCAACAUGAUGCGCAGAGAGAUAUUUGCUGUUCUUGCAGAAGGAAUUGUCUGGCAGCAGGAACAUACAAUUCAAUUUGGCCAUCCAAAGUUGCCCUUCAUUGUCCAGAGCUCGCCACUCUUCUAGACAUGAAGCCACUUCUUUCUGUCACGCAUGCAAAGGCACAUCGUUUGAAAUGCAAGACUACAGCAAAAAUCCAGGAGGAGACCCAGACUCUCGAAAAGUUUAAGAGUGAUUUGGGUGUAGGCGAUGAGACUCUGUACAACUGGACAACGGAAGUUCAGCAAUGGGCUAAUACAGAGGAAACAAAUGAGAACAUGGACGGUCCCCAGGUACUACAGAGAACAAUUGAAGUCCUGUUUCGUAGCAUCAAACAAAGGAAACGGAACCUCUACCGUCAAACAGAUGGAUGCAAGAAAAGACACCUUCUGCACAGAAAGAUAUUGGAAGAAAAGGCCAAAUUGACAGCUGUCACAGAGGAGUACAACACCCUUGUACCAGAUUCAGCAAUACUAUCUACAGAUGAAAUCCUAUCUGCAGACCUUCAUGCAUGGCCUUGGGAGCUGCAUGGACAAACUGACCUACUCACAAAGAAAAUAGCCUUUGACCGGGUGAUGCUCCUGAGAUGGCUGAAGGAGGAGGAGUUAACUGUCCUAAAGGAAGUCAAGCAGCACUGGGAAAGCCUAAAGAGGGAAUCGGAGAAUGUGCAAGACCUUGCUUCACAUGUGACACUUGACCUAAGCAGGCAAAUUUGACAGAGUCCUGAUGUCUUCUGAGGCUGCUGACUCUCCUCUGAAGCAUGGAGAAGAGACCUCUGCUCCCAGCUUCCGACUGAUUCAAUUGCAAGCCUAACACCAAGAAGAUAACUAGAUGACCUCCUGGAAGAGGACCUAGAUGACAUCUAUGACAGCGUCCACUACAGCUCUGAUGACGAGGGAUCUAUCACAGACUGAAGGUGUUCGUUUGGGUGGUUGCAGUUUGCACUGGGUGAAAAGUGAUUCCAUUUGUUUUGCAUAUGUGCUUUAUCUGCCUUCCUAAGGAAAAAUAGGUUGAACAUUUUAUGGAAAAUAAACGUACGUUUCUUCCUUGUUGACAAUGUGAUCAUGUGGCACAGAUUUGCGAAGGGCGCUCGUCUGUUACUGCUUUUGCUCGGUUACAUGACCAGUUCCGAUGCACCCCUUUAAAUGGCCAAUCUGCAGUUGCUACAUCCACUUUUGGAUUCUUGAAGAAUAUGAUUUAUAAAUGCCUCAUGGACAUAGUUCAACUGCCCUACUCCAUCAGAUCCCAAAAUAUAUAUAUUUUUCUACUUCAGUGUUUGUAAACAAAGUAAAUGUAAACAUACACUAGCAUGUGUCAAACUCAUUCCACGGGUGAGCCGAGUGUCUGCGGGUUUUCGCUCCUCCCAUGAUUGAUGAAAUAAGGUCACUAAUUAGUAAGGAACUCCCCUCACCUGGAUGUCUAGGUCUUAAUUGAAAGGAAAAAACAAAAACCAGCAGACACUAGGCUCUCCAUGGAAUGAGAUUGACACCACUGGACUAUAGCCUCGAAACAUGGUUUAAACCAGGGGUGUCAAACUCAUUCCACGGAGGGCCUAGUGUCUGCAGGUUUUUGAUUUUUCCUUUCAAUAAAGCCCUAGAUAACCAGGUGUGGGGAGUUCCUAACUAAUUAGUGAUGUUAAUUCAUCAAUCAAGUAUAAGGGAGGAGCGAAAACCCGCAGACACUCGGCCCCCCGUGGAAUGAGUUUGACACCUGUGCUCUAUGGUUACAUUUCUCCAGCCCCAUCCCUCUGCUUUUUACAGAACCAUUGGUGGGGAGAACGAUUUAUUGUUUCACCUGGUGAUUUCCAAUUUAAACAUUGUUAAACUAAUGUACUGUGCUUGUGUGUGCUUAUUAGUUUAGUUAAUAAAAAACUAAAAAAGGUUA